AACCAACGCUGGCGGCGUGCCUAACACAUGCAAGUCGAACGAGAAAGUCCCGCAAGGGAUGAGUAAAGUGGCGCACGGGUGAGUAACACGUGACUAACCUGCCUUCGAGUGGGGAAUAACCUCGGGAAACCGGGGCUAAUACCGCAUAACAUCAUCGGGUGAAAUUCCUGCUGAUCAAAAGUUUUUUGCUUGAAGAGGGGGUCGCGGCUGAUUAGCUAGUUGGUGAGGUAACGGCUCACCAAGGCUAUGAUCAGUAGCCGGCCUGAGAGGGCGCACGGCCACACUGGAACUGAAACACGGUCCAGACUCCUACGGGAGGCAGCAGUGGGGAAUUUUGCGCAAUGGGGGAAACCCUGACGCAGCAACGCCGCGUGGAGGAUGAAGUCCCUUGGGACGUAAACUCCUUUCGAUCGGGACGAAUUAUGACGGUACCGGAAGAAGGAGCCCCGGCUAACUUCGUGCCAGCCGCCGCAGUAAGAC
rnacentral:rRNA from 1 species